GACGAAGGGGGCUAGCGUUGUUCGGAAUUACUGGGCGUAAAGCGCGUGUAGGCGGUUGCCAUAGUCAGGUGUGAAAGCCUUGAGCUCAACUCAAGAAAUGCACUUGAUACUGGGCGACUAGAGGACCGGAGAGGAUAGUGGAAUUCCCAGUGUAGUGGUGAAAUACGUAGAGAUUGGGAAGAACACCAGUGGCGAAGGCGGCUAUCUGGACGGUUUCUGACGCUAAGACGCGAAGGCGUGGGUAGCAAACAGG
rnacentral:rRNA from 1 species